GCCAAGUGGACUGAGAUCCUCUUGCUGGCCUUGAAGAAGCAAGCUGCAAAAAGGUGAACUUUUCCUGGCUCAACAGGUAACCAGGAAAUCUUGGUGACUCCAUUUUGCUCCAGCUCCAGCUCCGGCUUCUGCUGAAUCAACCCUAUGACCCCCUUCCUCUCUACCUCUUCCCAGCAACAAUUUGUUUCAAUGAGCCAACCGGGAAGAAUGUGCACCCUGCCCUGACCAACGGGAAGGGGACAGGUACAUCACCUGCGUUAGGCAUAAAUAGGGGAGGGUCCUUUGUUUGGUGCGCACGCUUUUUGGAGCACCUGAGCCCUUCUGCAGAAGUAAAGAGCCUUGUCGAGA